GAUCAUGGCCAGGACGAACGCUGGCGGCGUGCCUAAUACAUGCAAGUAGAACGCUGAAGGAGGAGCUUGCUCUUCUGGAUGAGUUGCGAACGGGUGAGUAACGCGUAGGUAACCUGCCUGGUAGCGGGGGAUAACUAUUGGAAACGAUAGCUAAUACCGCAUAACAUUGACUAUUGCAUGAUAGUCAAUUGAAAGGUAGCAAAUGCACCACUACCAGAUGG
rnacentral:rRNA from 1 species